rnacentral:rRNA from 1 species
AUUGAACGCUGGCGGCAGGCCUAACACAUGCAAGUCGAGCGAGCGGCGGACGGGUGAGUAAUGUAUGUGGAUCUGCCCGCUUGAGGGGGAUAACUACUGUUACCGGUCGCUAAUACCGCCUACUAUCGUCUGCACCCAUAUGGGAUUAGCUAGUAGGUGGGGUAAAGGCUAACCUAGGCGACGAUCUCUAGCUGGUCUGAGAGGAUAAUGAGCCACACUGGGACUGAGACACGGCCCAGACGCCUACGGGAGGCAGAAGUGGGGAAUAGUGCACAAUGGGCGCAAGCCUGAUGCAGCCAUGCCGCGUGUAUUAAGAAGGCCUUAGGGUUGUAAAGUACUUUCAGCGGGGAGGCGUUACCCGCAGAAGAAGCACAGGCUAACUCCGUGCCAGCAGCCGCGGUAAUUC